GAGAUUUGCUCAGGGCCGGGCUCCUCGCCUCCCCAGAGAGCUGCCUUGCCAGAAAACUCCAGGAACAGAAGACAUCUACUGUAUGGAUUAAAAUACAUGAGGCAAGUCAUAGAAGUGUAGGACUGGAAAAAGGCAAAAAAAAAUCAUCUCAGCUAUUCUCUUCUUCCCCCAAAGGGAGACAAGACUACUCCUGGUGAGUGUUCUUCUAUCUUGCUCUCCACUGAAUAGGGUCUUAUAUUUGAAAGCAGAGAAAAGAUGACUAUGUAACAUCAUCAUUCCCAUCCUAGAUAUUCCCAAACACUUGGGAGUUCCCAAAAUCAGGAUUCUGUAGAGCUUUUCAGCAUUUCUUAUUCC
rnacentral:lncRNA from 1 species